CUUGUACACACCGCCCGUCACAUCACGAAAGUAGGUUGUACUAGAAGUAGGAGGGCUAACCCGCAAGGGGGGCAUCUUACCACGGUAUGAUUUAUGAUUGGGGUG
rnacentral:rRNA from 1 species